rnacentral:rRNA from 1 species
UACGUAGGGUGCGAGCGUUAAUCGGAAUUACUGGGCGUAAAGCGUGCGCAGGCGGUUCGACAAGUCUGAUGUGAAAGCCCCGGGCUCAACCUGGGAAUGGCAUUGGAAACUGGCGAGCUAGAGUGUGGCAGAGGGGGGUGGAAUUCCGCGUGUAGCAGUGAAAUGCGUAGAGAUGCGGAGGAACACCGAUUGCGAAGGCAGCUCACUAAACUGUAACUGACGCUGAGGCACGAAAGCGUGGGGAGCAAACAGG